UGUAGGUGAUGCCUUUUGUAGAGGUCAGCUUCCCAGUGCACAGAGCAGGGCUGAGGAGAGCAGAGAAUGGAUCUGGGAGCAAAUGGAGAAUAAUCAGCAUGAAUUUCAAAAGGAAUCUGUGGUUUAAGAAUGAAUAUGUAGAAGUUUUGUUUGAGUGAUUUUCAUUUACAAUGAGAUAAACAUUUGGUGAAAAGAAAUGUGAUUUUCUGAAACACAGCUGACGCACUUCAUUCCCCACAGUGAUGUCUCCUUAAAUGCCUUUCAGUCUUUCUUUGGCUACUUGCAUCAGAAUAUGUGGGAAACUUCCACACCUGUCUAGAUCAGCUCAUGAAACCUCUUGGAAAGAGAAAGAUGUGCAUAACUACUCUGUCUCCCAGCUCUUCUGGAACCCACUAAGUGAUGAGAACCUCACUUCAUCCCGAGGGAGCUUCUUCCAUUUUUAG
rnacentral:lncRNA from 1 species